rnacentral:lncRNA from 1 species
UUUCAAAUGCCUUUUUUUCAUUUUCGUUCUCUCUCUCCCCCUCAAAUCCAGAUCCAAGUGAAAUUUUCGUUCUCUCUCUCUCCAGGCGAUUUUGUAGAUUGUAGAUCCAGGGUUUCGGGCAUCUUCAAGGUGGGUUUAUGGCAUUUUCAGAUCUCACAAAACUUCAUCAUCAAGAAUAUCAUUCAAGAUCUCUCACCAGAUGCCGUUUCAUGACCAGAUCUGUGAUUAUUUGUGAUUUAUGAUAGAUGUUAUUUGUGGUGUUAUUAUUGUUUGAAUACAUAUGGUCCUCCACCGUAAUGCCGUCGUCAUCACUAUCCACUUCAAACCCUCUGUUUAUUAUGGCUGGUUCAGGCCCCUGUUGUGAUUCUGGUUUACAGUUUCUUUCGGAAAGAUAAGAAUCAGAGCUCGAUAAUUCAUCGUUUUUGUUAUGUUCGUUCGAGUGAGUUAUCAAAAUUCAUAUGUAAACUUGAUUGUAUAUUUUUUAAUACUUGAAAGCUGUAGCUAGAGGUUUAUUGGGGCUUCCGGUUGGUUAUAGCUGUGCAUCUACAGUCCCAGGGAAUGGUUCAAGUCU